rnacentral:snRNA from 2 species
GGAUGUGAGAGAAAUCUGGCUGUGACACCUGUCACCUGACUGAUUGCCAAGGUUGAUUCAGCUGAUCUGUUUAGCUAGGCAGGUGUCCCCUUGCUCUCUCAUCACUCCACAUGCAUCCAUCCCGAAGUGGAAGAAGAUAGCCUUCCUCCAUAGAGGACGACUAUUCUUUGAUCAAAGGUACACAAGAAGCUGUGUUACCCUACCCAAGCAUUCAAACAAGCUCUGAAGGUCCAUUUGUAGGAAAAGGUAGGAUAGCCAAGUCUGUCAGACUCCAGACACAUCCAAAUGAGGCCCUGCAUGAGAUAGUCAGCCUUUAUUU